rnacentral:rRNA from 1 species
AUUGAACGCUGGCGGCAUGCUUUACACAUGCAAGUCGAACGGCAGCGCGGGCUUCGGCCUGGCGGCGAGUGGCGAACGGGUGAGUAAUGCAUCGGAAAGUGCCCAGUAGUGGGGGAUAGCCCGGCGAAAGCCGGAUUAAUACCGCAUACGACCUGAGGGUGAAAGCGGGGGACCGAAAGGCCUCGCGCUAUUGGAGCGGCCGAUGUCGGAUUAGCUAGUUGGUGGGGUAAAGGCUUACCAAGGCGACGAUCCGUAGCUGGUCUGAGAGGACGACCAGCCACACUGGGACUGAGACACGGCCCAGACUCCUAUGGGAGGCAGCAGUGGGGAAUUUUGGACAAUGGGGGCAACCCUGAUCCAACCAUGCCGCGUGCGGGAAGAAGGCCUUCGGGUUGUAAACCGCUUUUGUUCGGGAAGAAAUCCUCUGGGCUAAUACCCCGGGGGGAUGACGGUACCGGAAGAAUAAGCACCGGCUAACUACGUG